UGACAGCUGAUCUCCUCCCACCAGGGAGGUUAGAGAAAGUCACCUUGGGCUUGAAUUGCCUAAUAAUAACAGCAGCAAGGUAUAUUUCUGUGAGGUUUGUGACUUAAACAAAGUGCUCUCACGGAUGCUAUUUCAACUAGGGCAGAGGCCUUGACAGCCAGUGAUGUAGCGGGAGACAAUCAAGUGUAAGAAGGAUAACAACUUGAAACUCUAAACACCAUCAGGACUUAUCAGAAUAUGAGCUCUGUGUAGGUUAGAGGAGCUCACAGGUAGCAGGAAGAGGCCUUAAGCCCAGCAUUUGCCUAAGAGCAUGAACUGAAAGCAGUUUCAGGAGUUCAGGUCAGGUGACAGUCCGGUGGGAAGGAAGAAGGGUCUGGAAAAUCCGAUCUAGUUCCAGAAGAGCCCGGAGAGGCAAUGAGGACUGGACAGGACAUUCUACUGUGAGGGUGAACAGGCCUGUGUCAUAGAGGGGUGCUGUGGAAUGCAGGGGAUUCUGAAGAGGUGGUGCUCCUGGCUCGCCCAGGACUGCUUUUCUCUUCCUCUCCACUAGAGGCGACAACCUCUUUUCAAACAGAAUCUGGCUGGAGC